rnacentral:rRNA from 1 species
GAUGAACGCUGGCGGCGUGCCUAAUACAUGCAAGUAGAACGCUGAAGGAGGAGCUUGCUCUUCUGGAUGAGUUGCGAACGGGUGAGUAACGCGUAGGUAAUCUGCCUGGUAGCGGGGGAUAACUAUUGGAAACGAUAGCUAAUACCGCAUGACAACAGUUAUUGCAUGAUAACUGUUUAAAAGGGGCAACUGCUCCACUACCAGAUGGACCUGCGUUGUAUUAGCUAGUUGGUGAGGUAACGGCUCACCAAGGCGACGAUACAUAGCCGACCUGAGAGGGUGAUCGGCCACACUGGGACUGAGACACGGCCCAGACUCCUACGGGAGGCAGCAGUAGGGAAUCUUCGGCAAUGGACGGAAGUCUGACCGAGCAACGCCGCGUGAGUGAAGAAGGUUUUCGGAUCGUAAAGCUCUGUUGUAAGAGAAGAACGAGUGUGAGAGUGGAAAGUUCACACUGUGACGGUAUCUUACCAGAAAGGGACGGCUAACUACGUG